AAGAUAGACGAAAUAUAGGUACAGUAAGAAGGGCACACCCUGAAGAUCGAAGUGAUCAAGAAGGAAUGUAAGAAGAAAGUAAAUCAGAGAGAUAGCAAGGAGCAAGGCCAUCGAGUGAUUUAAAGUGUCUCUGUCAGAAUGAGGAUGCAGUUUAAACAAAACCACAAAACACUCUGCACUUGCCCACUCACCUGCUCAUCUAGUCUGGCUAGAAAAACUAUUCUGACUAGAGAAACUAGAAGUUUCUCCUCCCAUCAGGGAAUCACCCUUGAAUCUCUUCACAGCACAGCACAUUCUGUCAGAACGAAAACAAGAGAGAGGAACUAUGAGGCAGACCUGAGCUCGGAUAUGAAAAGAAAAAGAAAAAACAAACAAAUAAACAACAACAAAAAACAGGUCAGAAUGAGGGUUAUUUGAAAUUCUGCGUUCUUGUCCUGCUCUUGCAGUGACAGUAAACUAAAGUCAAGAUGUGACGGAGUAUUAAGACUCGAUGACAGCAGGAAUAUAUCAGACGUCAUUCAGAGAAAUGAUUCACUUGAGGAUCAGGAUCCGGAACACAAUGUUUUCCAAGAGAAGUUUAAGAAAGAAGCUUCAUUCUCAUAUUCAUGUAAGUCUGAGCACAUUUACUAAUUUGAAAAGAUCAUCUAUUAUUAUUAUUAUUAUUAUUA